GAUUUCGGCUCGAAGGGUCCUAAUAGAACGCUCUAUUUCAGGGUCAAAAGGUACUAAUUCGGGAGAUUUGGAACGACACCCUAGCAUACACUAAGACUCCUUUGAUCAGUACAGUCAAGCAUGCACUAAAAAGAAAAACACAAUUCCUUAUGUUCACCCUAAAAUCACUAGACAGCUCCUAACUGGUUUGAAGAGGGCACCUAAGCCUCCAAUCCGGUCUAAUGACUGAGCUGACCAGGUAAGCUCCCAGGUAAGUGGGGGGGUCACGAUGCGUUGCAAAGGUCCCACUUAAAAACCACUUGCCUCGAACAGAUGAACUGUCUUCCUUAAAGGGACAAAGCUUGCCUAGACAUCAACUGAGCCAUAGAGCGAAAUUGAUGCAACUUUCGGUGAUUUUCGUCCUAUUGAGCUCGAAUGUCCCUAGGGGCCAAUGUCUAAUUGAUUUUAAUUAAUGUGAUAGCUAUGUGAGAAUUGAUUCACCUAAUUUGGGCAAGAAUCUGGUGAUGAAAUCCAGUUCUUAUCUUGUUGGGGUGAUUGCCCUUACUAUGUGCGGAUUAAUUGGUGUAUGUGU
rnacentral:lncRNA from 1 species